UACGGGGGGGGUAAGCGUUGUUCGGAAUUACUGGGCGUAAAGGGCUCGUAGGCGGCCAACUAAGUCAUACGUGAAAUCCCUCAGCUUAACUGGGGAACUGCGUGUGAUACUGGAUGGCUUGGAUUUGGGAGAGGGAAGCGGAAUUCCCGGUGUAGUGGUGAAAUGCGUAGAUAUCGGGAGGAACACCAGUGGCGAAGGCGGCUUCCUGGCCUGUUCUUGACGCUGAGGCGCGAAAGCUAGGGGAGCAAACGGG
rnacentral:rRNA from 1 species